AACGAACGCUGGCGGCAUGCCUAACACAUGCAAGUCGAACGAGAUCUUCGGGUCUAGUGGCGCACGGGUGCGUAACGCGUGGGAAUCUGCCCUUUGGUUCGGAAUAACAGUUUGAAACGACUGCUAAUACCGGAUGAUGACGAAAGUCCAAAGAUUUAUCGCCAGAGGAUGAGCCCGCGUAGGAUAAGAUAGUUGGUGUGGUAAAGGCGCACCAAGGCGACGAUCCUUAGCUGGUCUGAGAGGAUGAUCAGCCACACUGGGACUGAGACACGGCCCAGACUCCUACGGGAGGCAGCAGUGGGGAAUAUUGGACAAUGGGCGAAAGCCUGAUCCAGCAAUGCCGCGUGAGUGAUGAAGGCCUUAGGGUUGUAAAGCUCUUUUACCCGGGAUGAUAAUGACAGUACCGGGAGAAUAAGCUCCGGCUAACUCCGUGCCAGCCGCCGCCGUAA
rnacentral:rRNA from 1 species